rnacentral:misc_RNA from 1 species
GAUGAAGAACGCAGUGAAAUACGAUAAUUAAUGUGAAUUGCAGAAUUCCGUAAAUCAUCGAGUCUUUGAAUGCACAUUGCGCCUCAUGGCAUUCCGUGAGGCAUGCCCAUCUCAGCGUUAGAAAAUAUUCUCAAAUUUUAGUUUUGUGCUAAAAUUUGGAUCAUGUCAAAGAAGCUAUUACUAUUAUUGUGAUCGCUCUUUGGAAAUUGAUAGGUCUUUGAGUUGCUACUCAUAGAACGUGAUGAAUCUUUCUUCGUUCUAUUGUAAUUCACUCUGGUAGUCCUAAAACUUGUAUGCCUGUGGCAUAUCUUGUAAUUUGACCUGAGAUUGGGUAGGGAUACCCGCUGAACUUAAGCAUAUCAAUAAGCGGAGGA